ACCUGACCCUCUUAGAGUGACAUUGCUACUAAAGGGGAAUCAGGUUUAUUUGCAGCCCACCGUACAAAUUCUACUUUCAUAAUGUUUCAGAUACGAGCCAUGUUUCGCGGGGUGCGCGGCGGUGUCGUGCGACAACCCGCGCGCGCGGCCGCGACCCUGCUACCCGUACUGCGAGCCCGGCUGCGUGUGCGCGCCGCCCCGCGUGCGUGACGACCGCACGCAUAAGUGCGUCACCGUGGAUAACUGCACCAAGGGUCUGAAAGGAAUUCCUGAUUUGGGGGAAGAGCAGUGAAGAAAAGACAAGGUCAGAAGAGAAGUUAAUUACAGUAGAUUUAAGAUAUAGGUCCAGAACAGAACAAUAUGAUUAAGUUCUAGGUAAUAUAAUAAAGUUUAUUGUAAUUUGUAUCUUA